UACGGAAGGCAGCAGUGGGGAAUAUUGCACAAUGGGCGCAAGCCUGAUGCAGCCAUGCCGCGUGUAUGAAGAAGGCCUUCGGGUUGUAAAGUACUUUCAGUCGUGAGGAAGGUGUUAAGGUUAAUAACCUUAGCAAUUGACGUUAGCGACAGAAGAAGCACCGGCUAACUCCGUGCCAGCAGCCGCGGUAAUACGGAGGGUGCGAGCGUUAAUCGGAAUUACUGGGCGUAAAGGGCACGCAGGCGGUUAAUUAAGUUGGAUGUGAAAUCCCCGGGCUUAACCUGGGAAUGGCAUUCAAGACUGGUUAGCUAGAGUCUUGUAGAGGGGGUAGAAUUCCAUGUGUAGCGGUGAAAUGCGUAGAGAUGUGGAGGAAUCCGGUGGCGAAGGCGGCCCCUGGACAAAGGACUGACGCUCAUGUGCGAAAGCGUGGGGAGCGAAACAGGGAUUAGAUA
rnacentral:rRNA from 1 species